rnacentral:rRNA from 1 species
CCUACGGGAGGCAGCAGUGAGGAAUAUUGGUCAAUGGACGAGAGUCUGAACCAGCCAAGUAGCGUGAAGGAUGACUGCCCUAUGGGUUGUAAACUUCUUUUAUAUGGGAAUAAAAUGUUCCACGUGUGGGAUUUUGUAUGUACCAUAUGAAUAAGGAUCGGCUAACUCCGUACCAGCAGCCGCGGUAAUACGGAGGAUCCGAGCGUUAUCCGGAUUUAUUGGGUUUAAAGGGAGCGUAGGUGGAUUGUUAAGUCAGUUGUGAAAGUUUGCGGCUCAACCGUAAAAUUGCAGUUGAAACUGGCAGUCUUGAGUACAGUAGAGGGGGGCGGAAUUCGGUGUGUAGCGGUGAAAUGCUUAGAUAUCACGAAGAACUCCGAUGGCGAAGGCAGUUCACUGGACUGCAACUGACACUGAGGCUCGAAAGUGUGGGUAUCAAACAGGAUUAGAUACCCUAGUAGUC